rnacentral:rRNA from 1 species
CUGGCGGUAGGCCUAACACAUGCAAGUCGAACGGCAGCACAGUAAGAGCUUGCUCUUAUGGGUGGCGAGUGGCGGACGGGUGAGGAAUACAUCGGAAUCUACCUUUUCGUGGGGGAUAACGUAGGGAAACUUACGCUAAUACCGCAUACGACCUUCGGGUGAAAGCAGGGGACCUUCGGGCCUUGCGCGGAUAGAUGAGCCGAUGUCGGAUUAGCUAGUUGGCGGGGUAAAGGCCCACCAAGGCGACGAUCCGUAGCUGGUCUGAGAGGAUGAUCAGCCACACUGGAACUGAGACACGGUCCAGACUCCUACGGGAGGCAGCAGUGGGGAAUAUUGGACAAUGGGCGCAAGCCUGAUCCAGCCAUACCGCGUGGGUGAAGAAGGCCUUCGGGUUGUAAAGCCCUUUUGUUGGGAAAGAAAAGCAAUCGAUUAAUACCCGGUUGUUCUGACGGUACCCAAAGAAUAAGCACCGGCUAACUUCGUGCCAGCAGCCGCGGUAAUACGAAGGGUGCAAGCGUUACUCGGAAUUACUGGGCGUAAAGCGUGCGUAGGUGGUUGUUUAAGUCUGUUGUGAAAGCCCUGGGCUCAACCUGGGAAUUGCAGUGGAUACUGGGCAACUAGAGUGUGGUAGAGGGUAGUGGAAUUCCCGGUGUAGCAGUGAAAUGCGUAGAGAUCGGGAGGAACAUCCAUGGCGAAGGCAGCUACCUGGACCAACACUGACACUGAGGCACGAAAGCGUG